rnacentral:rRNA from 1 species
GACGAAGGUUCCUAGCGUUGUUCGGAAUCACUGGGCGUAAAGCGUAUGUAGGCGGCUCUUCAAGUCAGGUGUGAAAUCCCAUGGCUCAACCAUGGAACUGCAUUUGAUACUGUUGAGCUUGAAUAUGGGAGAGGAUGGUAGAAUUCCUGGUGUAGUGGUGAAAUACGUAGAUAUCAGGAGGAACUCCGGUGGCGAAGGCGGCCAUCUGGCCCAAUAUUGACGCUGAGAUACGAAAGCGUGGGGAUCAAACAGG